rnacentral:tRNA from 1 species
GCGGGGAUGCCCGAGCUGGUCCAAGGGGGCGGACUCAAGAUCCGCUGGCGAAGGCCAUCCGGGGUUCAAAUCCCCGUCCCCGCA